rnacentral:rRNA from 1 species
UACGGGGGGAGCAAGCGUUGUCGGAUUUACUGGGCGUAAAGGGCGCGUAGGCGGUCGUGACAAGUCACUUGUGAAAUCUCCGGGCUUAACUCGGAACGGUCAAGUGAUACUGUCGGACUAGAGUACAGAAGGGGCAACUGGAAUUCUCGGUGUAGCGGUGAAAUGCGUAGAUAUCGAGAGGAACACCUGCGGCGAAGGCGGGUUGCUGGGCUGACACUGACGCUGACAGCGCGAAAGCUAGGGGAGCGAACGGG